rnacentral:rRNA from 1 species
UACGGAGGGUGCAAGCGUUAUCCGGAUUCACUGGGUUUAAAGGGUGCGUAGGUGGGCAAGUAAGUCAGUGGUGAAAUCUCCGGGCUUAACCCGGAAACUGCCAUUGAUACUAUUUGUCUUGAAUACUGUGGAGGUCAGCGGAAUAUGUCAUGUAGCGGUGAAAUGCUUAGAUAUGACAUAGAACACCAAUUGCGAAGGCAGCUUACUACGGGGUCAUUGACACUGAGGCACGAAAGCGUGGGGAUCAAACAGG